rnacentral:rRNA from 1 species
UACGAAGGGGGGCUAGCGUUGCUCGGAAUCACUGGGCGUAAAGGGUGCGUAGGCGGGUCUUUUAAGUCAGGGGUGAAAUCCUGGAGCUCAACUCCAGAACUGCCUUUGAUACUGAGGAUCUUGAGUUCGGGAGAGGUGAGUGGAACUGCGAGUGUAGAGGUGAAAUUCGUAGAUAUUCGCAAGAACACCAGUGGCGAAGGCGGUCUGCUGGGCCGUUGCUGACGCUGAGGCGCGACAGCGUGGGGAGCAAACAGG